rnacentral:rRNA from 1 species
AUGGGAUCUGUAUUCUCUUCCGUUGCCGCAGAGAACAGAGAGCGAUCAGAAGAAGAGCGAGAUGCCUCCGUCAUUCACCAUGCUCGUUGUGCCCUCCUCCACUACAACUCCAAGAACCCGGGUGCUGAAUUCGACCUUGUCAAACCUUUGAUGAACAUGGCCGUCAUAUUCAGAGGCGAGACAUGGCACCACGUCAGCUUUUGGGCUCGCAGGAGGGGCGCUCCGCCUGAGACCCCCGUGCGGCAAUUCUUCGGGGAGCUGCGCUACAAGUACAUCUGUGGCGAUGAUGACAAGGCUGUCGAAAUACAGGGCUGCCGAGUGGUUGUCGAGACAUGCGCUAUCGUCAAUAAGAUAUCUACAUUUCAGACGCAGCCACCCACCCGCAAGAAAAAGAAACCUCGCAGGAGUGUGUGUAUACUUUGCCCCCGUAGCUUUGAGAUCAUUCAUUCCAAAAAGGGGAAAUUCAUUUGCGGAAAGGAAGAAGGACACGAGAAGGAGUUUAUCCGGUUGAACAAUAUGCUUGAGAAGCCAUUCACAUGUACAGCCUAG